rnacentral:rRNA from 1 species
UACGUAGGGGGCGAGCGUUGUCCGGAAUUAUUGGGCGUAAAGAGCUCGUAGGCGGCUUGUCGCGUCGUUCGUGAAAACCUGUGGCUCAACUACAGGCUUGCGGUCGAUACGGGCAGGCUGGAGUUCGGUAGGGGAGACUGGAAUUCCUGGUGUAGCGGUGAAAUGCGCAGAUAUCAGGAGGAACACCGGUGGCGAAGGCGGGUCUCUGGGCCGAUACUGACGCUGAGGAGCGAAAGCGUGGGGAGCGAACAGG